rnacentral:rRNA from 4 species
GAGACCCACGCCCACAGUUGCCAGCGUACUCUCUGGAGUGACGGGUACACUGUGGGGACCGCCGCUGCUAAAGCGGAGGAAGGAAUGGGCAACGGUAGGUCAGUAUGCCCCGAAUGUCCCGGGCUACACGCGGGCUACAAUGGUUGGUACAAUGGGUAUCUACCCCGAAAGGGGAUGGAAAUCUCCUAAAGCCAAUCUUAGUUCGGAUUGAGGGCUGCAACUCGCCCUCAUGAAGCUGGAAUCCGUAGUAAUCGCGUUUCAAUAGAACGCGGUGAAUAC